rnacentral:rRNA from 1 species
GAAUCUUGGACAAUGGGGGAAACCCUGAUCCAGCCAUGCCGCGUGAGUGAUGAAGGCCUUAGGGUCGUAAAGCUCUUUCGCCUGGGAAGAUAAUGACGGUACCAGGUAAAGAAACCCCGGCUAACUCCGUGCCAGCAGCCGCGGUAAUACGGAGGGGACUAGCGUUGUUCGGAAUUACUGGGCGUAAAGCGCGCGUAGGCGGAUCGUUAAGUCAGGGGUGAAAUCCUGGGGCUCAACCCCAGAACUGCCCUUGAUACUGGCGGUCUUGAGUUCGAGAGAGGUGAGUGGAAUUCCGAGUGUAGAGGUGAAAUUCGUAGAUAUUCGGAGGAACACCAGUGGCGAAGGCGGCUCACUGGCUCGAUACUGACGCUGAGGUGCGAAAGCGUGGGGAGCAAACAGG